CAACAAACGGCCGCGCAGCGUCAAACAACCUUAUAUGGCCACUGCUUUAUCGGCUGGGUUUGAUGAAAUCAAGCCUCCUGAUAUCACAAAAUCGGGUGUUGAAGAACGAUCGUUGACUGCUCAUUGGAUUUCGAAGACAAUCUCGACCCAGUUUAAUAUAUAUACUAAAAGUUGUAAACGGAUUAUGCUGGACUUAAAAAUGAAGGAGUUACUUGCUAUAUGAAUUCGCUGAUACAGACAUUAUACCAUACAGCUUACUUCAGAAAGGUUGUAUAUCAUAUUCCGACAACUGAGAAUGAUAUGUCAUCGGGUAGCAUUCCUCUGGCUUUGCAGAAUAUAUUCUAUAAGUUUCAGAAUAGUGAGACUAGUGUAGCUACAAAUGAGUUGAUUAAGUCUUUCUGGUAACUGUUAACUA